GAUUGAAGUCAGUCGUACCUUCGGGUAAUCAGCCUUUCGGGUGCGAUUCUGUGGAGUGUGAGGAGCUUAAACACCUUCAUGUUUUGCAUAUUCGUACUCUUGGGUGUACUUGCCUGUGUGGUUGGUUAACAUCAAUUUUGGUGGUCAUAAAAUGACUGGAGGAAUGUAGCUUCGAUCUUGCAUUGAAGUGUUAUAGCCUUCGGUAGAUGUGAUGAUCGAGAUUGAGGAUUGCAACGGAUACCCUUCGGGGCUACCUGUCUGAUCUCUGAUCGUUGCUCUGGUGCCGAAAGCUUGCUUACGGUUAUCAAAGUCGAU
rnacentral:rRNA from 1 species